GUCUCUAAAAAAGAUAUUGACUUGAAUGAGACAUGAGGAGUUAAUAGAAAAUAGAAAUUUGUUGGUAUUCCAACUCAGAACCUUAAUUUAUAGAAAGCUGUUGAAAAUAGCUUUUAUGGGAAAAAAAACAUUUUUCAUGAUAAAGUGUUUGGUAUAAUUAAAAGGGUUAAUUUUAUACAGGUCCCUGCAAAUAUAAUGAAUGACAAAUAUAUUUCUAUAAAGUUCAACUUUUAUAUAUUGUCCUUACAAAAGUCAUGAUAUUUUCAAAUAUAUUACUGCCGUUAGAAUUCGUUAGAAAAAUUUAGUUAACUAUAGGUUAAAUAUUUAAUCCUGAUUAGUUUUUGAUAUUUUUACCCUUCUUAUAUUAUACUGUUAUGGUUUUUCGAGAGACAUAUUUGUGAUGAUAAAAUUAAAAAUAUAAGCAGUUAUCUAAUGGUAACAAAUCAGAGGGAUAUAUUUGAAAAUAUCAGAACUUUUGUAGGGGUAACAUAUAAAAGUUGAACUUUGUAGAAAUAUAUUUACUAUUCACUAUAUUUAUAGGAACCUGUAUGAAAUUAACUCUAAUUAAAAUAUAUAGUUUCUGAAACAAGCAUAUAUAGGCAAUUUCAAUUUUCA
rnacentral:lncRNA from 1 species